AUGGCUUCCAUGGCGCUCGCGGAGGAAAGGGAUGCCUUGGAUUCAUCUAGGAUGCCGAUCGGCACAGGGCUAUCGGUGGAUGUUGCAAUGGAGCCCAAUGAGGAGGGGAUGGGUGAGCAUCCUGUCAAGCCUAGGAAGCCCUACACGAUCACGAAGCAGCGGGAGAAGUGGACGGAGGAAGAGCACGAGAAGUUCCUGGAGGCGCUGAAGCUGUAUGGCCGGUCCUGGCGUCAGAUACAAGAACACAUUGGCACAAAGACCGCUGUCCAAAUCCGAAGCCAUGCCCAGAAGUUUUUCUCCAAGGUGGUGCGUGAACCUGGUGCUAAAAUUGAGAUCGAGAUCCCUCCCCCCAGGCCAAAGAGGAAACCACUGCAUCCAUAUCCUCGCAAGCGCGCGAACUCCUGCAAUGGGGCAAACGCAGCAAAUGGUCAAUCCAAGCUUGCUCAUAUGUCAUCUUCUUCUGGUUCUGACCAAGAGAAUGGUUCUCCCGUGUCGGUGAUAUCUGCAAUGCAGUCGGAUGCUUUUGGAUCAUCGAUGUCAAACCCGUCAUCUCGCAGUGCCUCCCCAGAGUCGUCAGAUGAGGAGAAUAUUGUUCUUCCAAUGGUGAACGGAGGGGAAGGUCAACAAACAGGGAUAGAUCAAUCCCACAAGGAAGCUGAUCAGGAAAACAAAGAUACGGGUACCUCUGAAGAGGAUUCUUCUGAUGAGGUACAGGUAACAAGCGUGAAGCUGUUUGGGAAGACGGUCGUUAUCCCAGACCCGAGGAAAAGAUGCUCCCCGGAUACAGGCUCAGGGCAUGAAAACAGAGAGCAACCCUCAGAGUCCUCUAACAAAGGAACAUCACAAGCCCCACUGGCUGUAGAUAUUCCAACACAUACAAAGGGAGAGCAAAUCUCACAAUCCUCUAACAAGGCAACAUCACAAGCCCCAUUGGCUGUAGAGGUUCCGACGUAUACAAAUGGAGAGCAAAUCUCAGAAUUCUCUUACAAGGCAACAUCACAAGCCCCAUUGGCUGUAGAAAUUCAAGCAUACGCUGCGCCGCCAAGUGGGUGGGUUCUUCCAUACAAUUCAUUCCCGCUCCAUUUCGGGGAAUCAGCGGAAGCCAGAAUUGCCCGUUUGCACAUGUGGUGGCCAUACUAUGGGUUUCCUAUGGUCCAUCCAAGUGGACCGAGUGCAGUGGCACACAAUGGAAAAGCUACUGAUGAGAGCGAAGCUGCGAAGAGCCCUCCAGUUGAAUCAAGCUCGGACUUCGUUGACAAUACUCAGGCAACAGCCAGCAAGCAGUGGAAAGUGCUUGAGUCGCUUGGAACAGCGCAGGCCCCUCCGUCGGUUUCUAAUUUUCAGCUUAAACCAAGCACGAACUCGGCCUUCGUGAGAGUGAAGCCGAUCGUCAGCAGCGGAGAUGAGCCGGUGAGGGGGUUUGCGCCGUACAAAAGAUGUAGAGUCGAAUGA
rnacentral:rRNA from 1 species